GCUGAAGUAGCUCAGCGGUAGAGCAGCGGUUUCGUAAACCGCAGGUCGUGGGUUCAAAUCCCACCUUCAGCUCAA
rnacentral:tRNA from 1 species